rnacentral:rRNA from 1 species
GACGAACGCUGGCGGCGUGCUUAACACAUGCAAGUCGAACGGAAAGGCCCUGCUUUGGUGGGGUGCUCGAGUGGCGAACGGGUGAGUAACACGUGAGUAACCUGCCCUUGACUUUGGGAUAACUUCAGGAAACUGGGGCUAAUACCGGAUAGGAGCUCCUGCUGCAUGGGGGGGGUUGGAAAGUUUCGGCGGUUGGGGAUGGACUCGCGGCUUAUCAGCUUGUUGGUGGGGUAGUGGCUUACCAAGGCUUUGACGGGUGGCCGGCCUGAGAGGGUGACCGGCCACAUUGGGACUGGGCUACGGCCCAGCCUCCUACGGGAGGCAGCAGUGGGGAAUAUUGCACAAUGGGCGGAAGCCUAAUGCAGCAACGCCGCGUGCGGGAUGACGGCCUUCGGGUUGUAAACCGCUUUCGCCUGUGACGAAGCGUGAGUGACGGUAAUGGGUAAAGAAGCACCGGCUAACUACGUG